AAAUCUCUUAGAACCAGGGUAGUACACAGCUAUAAUCUUGAAACCCAAAGAGUUUGGCGGUAUCUCAGCCUGGUUAGAGGAGCUUGUCCGGUAAUCGAUAAUCCGCGAAAAAUCUUACACACUGUGGUAGUCAGCUUAUAUACCGUCGUUGUCAGAUAAUAUUGAAAAAUAAAAAAUUAUCUAAAAAUAUUAAAAUAUAAUAUAUCAGAUCAAGGUGUAGCUUAUAAGUGUGAUUGGAUGAGCUACAAUUUAAUAAAAUAAAAACGAAUCUCUUCUUAAAAAAGAAGAUUGAAGGUGGAUUUAAUAGUAAUAACAGCUUUAGUAAGUUAUUAUGAUAUUAGCUCUGAGAUAUGU
rnacentral:rRNA from 1 species